GCCCCCGUAGCGCAGCGGAAAGCGCGCCGGAUUCCGGAUCCGGAGGCCGCAGGUUCGAACUCUGCCGGGGGUGC
rnacentral:tRNA from 1 species